UCUGGGAAAAAAAGGUUCACCGCAUCCCCCCACCCGCACGCCGGCGCUUGCAUCGCCCCCACGGCUCCGCCUCGCUUGGCACCGGCCCACCUCGCCGCCGGCCCUCCCCCUCACCUUCUCCCACCUUGCAGCGCCGGCGUGUGCCAGAUCCGCCUGCAUCCCCCAGCCAACCAUCCCUCUCACAUCUCAUCUCUCUCUCCAUGCGGCUCCUCGCUGCGCUACCUGCGGCGGCUGAUCCAAACGACGUCCGGCGAAUCCCCACCACCACGAAGCACCGCUCGAGGCCCCCUCGCACUCGUGGCGCCCUCUCAUACGACUAGAUCCGGCGCUCGCGGCCAGUAAAGCUCACCGGCGACCCUCCUCCCAUGGCUAGGGUUUCGGGCAUCUACUCCGGCGCCGGUGGCCAAGUUGCCCUCCUCUCGUCCGACGUGGAGGGAGGUACUGUGGACAGCCUUCCUGCUGCUCGGGACGAAGUAGCCAUGGAGCUUCCUCCUCCUCCUCUGGCUUCAGGUGAGUUUGUCCGCCGUGAUCCAUCUAACGGCCAGCGCGAUGACCUAGAAAGUAGGACAGGGCCUGGACAUGGUAGGUCACAAACAUCCAUCUAUUUUGCCCUCCUGUACAUAUUUUGAUGUUGGAUCGGUGCUGUGUUUCAAUUGCUAAGAAAGCAGAAUAAAAGGGCUAUGUUCUGUAGUUAGCAGCUGGACCUAGGCGUCUCCAUAUCAUACCUCCACAAAGAAAAUAUCAUACUAAAUCUACUAGUAUGUGAGUUUGCCCAUAUGCACAAUUUACCUUUUUCCUAACAAGUUCCGAUCCUCACCCCUUCACUAGCUACUUACUCAUGGUGCUGGUCAAUGCACUCUAUGUGGUAAACUGCUACGAGGCUCUAUUCUUUUUCUUCAAAAUAAAUUACUUUAAUUAUAAGAGAUGGAGUUUUUUCCAGGAAUAUUUGAUUACUGUUUGGUUUGAUCAGCUAGGGAUACCAUAUUUUUGAAAAGCAAUCAAAAUCUGUUUCUGGGUAGAUGCACUGCAAAAAUACCAGCAUCAUUAGAACAUAAAGAUAGGGAUGUGCUUAAUAAUUACCCUCACUGUCCUACUGAUAGUUCUCUUUGUUCUUGCAAAGGUGCUUAUUAAUCCACUGAAACCAUGUUAUAAGAUGCAAUUGUUUUAUCUCCUGAAAAAGCAUGAAGAUUUGUUUCUUUUAGUAAUUAAUUGAAACCACCUGUAAGCCUGCAAUGAAGCUUCUAUUAUUUUUGUCUCAUCAAUUUGGUAGCUAUUUUAUGCAAUAUGUUUUACUUAAAUUUCAGCAAAGGGAGCAUCUAUAUUUUGACAUAUGAACUGGUCUCUUUUUCUUUUCUUGACGGAGCGCACCUGGGCUCUUGAACGGCAUUCAAUACCCUGGUCAUAUCCUCAAAUUAAGCCAAUCUCACCAUGGGUCUUAUUCGCUGCCACCACCGGCAUGUUUCCAGCCGACCACCCAAAGACACUAACUUCAUGCAAAAUCGCAUUGCAGAUCGCAGGUGCAGCAGACUUGAUCCCCUUAGAUUGAUCCCACACUUAGAUUUGUCCGAUGGUAAUCCAUGUCGUCAUUAGCAUGAUGCCUUGCAAAGUGGGGCUGACCAGGGUAGUGUCUGUACACAGUGGGUCAUAAGCCUCUGCUGCUUUGUCGUACAAGCUAUGCUUUUGCUGAUGCUGUGUGUUUCACUUCAUAAUAUUUUUCAUCAGCAUAUUCAUCACGUCUUACACUACGGUCUCGGCAGGAAGUAGUAUACUUCAUAAUAAAGAGAAAACUGUAGAUAUGUUUUAAAGGCAGACUGGUCAUCGUUUGCUACCAAGAUGUGGGCGAGAGCGCGUAAUCGAUGAUAGGCUGAGGAGGCUAAGCCGAUAUGCAGUGGCUGGUACCUGUUGGAUGUCAUUGACGGCUAAGUGCAACCUGUGGCACAAGACGCCGACAAAGGGAUUCUCAACACCUGCUAAACUGGCCUAAGAAUUUGAUUGUUAUUCUGCUUUAGUUACGGCAUCAUGUCGAUAUGGCACUGUGAAAAUUGAAGAUUUGGUAUGGAGUCGCAAAAACUGCAAUACUCUCGGUAAUGCAGAAAAAACAAAGAUUUCAUGGUCUUCAACCUUUAUUCAAAAGAUACAUGGAUGAUUAUAUGGGUGUGUGGCAAGUAUACUGCAAUGAUGAUGAUGUUUCGGUUCAUCAUGAUGAUGAUGGAUGCUUUCAGUUUAGUUAAGUUGUAGGAAUUUUGUUCCUGUUGGAUAUGUUUCUCGGUUAAGGUUUAGUUAAGUUGUAGAGACAACUUGUUCACAAGGAGUGUGCUUCCUUCUACAGAGACAGCUGGUACACAUGGAGGUUGCAUCAAUGGUAACGCUGGUUUCACAAAAACAAGAUUGCUAGGAUAUGCUGCUUAUCAUUACGGUUGGGUUCGUUACUCGUGGUGGCAAAAAAGAUGGCACCUACCUUGUAUCUUGUUGGCCAAGGGUAGGAAGGGACACUUUGCAGAUGGAAGGGGGUGUUGUAGGGCAGUUACUCUAAAGGAAUGAAUGGAAAAAGGCAGAGGUGUUUAUCAUCGAAAACUAAACUUGCAUGUACCCAUCUUAUGUGAAUAAGCAUGUAACCAGCUUAUAUCGAUAUUUUCAUUGUAAUGGAGACAUAAGACACAAGUGACAUGUUAAACUCAAAUAAUAUUUUUAUUAGUAUCUCAAA